GCCAGUGUGGUGUAGUGGUCUAAGCGUUGGACUAGGACUCUGGAGACCAGAGUUUGAAUCCCGGCUCAGCCA